CUACGGGACGCAGCAGUGAGGAAUAUUGCGCAAUGGGGGAAACCCUGACGCAGCGACGCCGCGUGGAUGAUGAAGGCCUUCGGGUCGUAAAAUCCUGUCAGAAGGAAAGAAGUGUAUGGUAGCUAAUAUCUGCCAUACUUGACGGUACCUCAAAGGAAGCACCGGCUAAGUCCGUGCCAGCAGCCGCGGUAAUACGGGGGGUGCAAGCGUUGUUCGGAAUUACUGGGCGUAAAGCGCGCGUAGGCGGUUUUAUAAGUCAGAUGUGAAAGUCCACGGCUCAACCAUGGAAGUGCAUUUGAAACUGUAAGACUUGAGUAUUGGAGUGGGUAGUGGAAUUCCCGGUGUAGAGGGGAAAUUCGUAGAUAUCGGGAGGAAUACCGGUGGCGAAGGCGACUAUCUGGCCAAAUACUGACGCUGAGGUGCGAAAGCGUGGGGAGCAAACAGGAUUAGAUACCCCGGUAGUC
rnacentral:rRNA from 1 species